CGGGCCGCAGCAGGCGCGAAAACUUUACAAUGCGGGGAACCGCGAUAAGGGGACACCGAGUGCCAGCAUCCUAUGUUGGCUGUCCAUAUGUCUAAAUAGCAUAUGUUAGCAAGGGCCGGGCAAGACCGGUGCCAGCCGCCGCGGUAACACCGGCGGCCCGAGUGGUGGCCAUUAAUAUUGGGUCUAAAGGGUCCGUAGCCGGCUUGGUCAGUCUUCCGGGAAAUCUGACGGCUUAACCGUUAGGCUUCCGGGGGAUACUACCAGGCUUGGGACCGGGAGAGGUAAGAGGUACUACGGGGGUAGGAGUGAAAUCUUGUAAUCCCCGUGGGACCACCAGUGGCGAAGGCGUCUUACCAGAACGGGUCCGACGGUGAGGGACGAAAGCUGGGGGCACGAACCGGAUUAGAUACCCGGGUAGUCCCAGCCGUAAACUAUGCUCGCUAGGUGUCAGGGACGGUGCGACCGUUUCCGGUGCCGCAGGGAAGCCGUGAAGCGAG
rnacentral:rRNA from 1 species